GACGAACGCUGGCGGCGUGCUUAACACAUGCAAGUCGAACGGUGAAGCGCCUUCCUUUUUGGUGGGUGUGGAUGAGUGGCGAACGGGUGAGUAACACGUGAGUAACCUGCCCCCUUCUUCUGGAUAACCGCAUGAAAGUAUGGCUAAUACGGGAUAUUCUGGGUCUGUCGCAUGAUGGGUCUGGGAAAGAUAUUGUUUCGGUGUGGGAUGGGCUCGCGGCCUAUCAGCUUGUUGGUGGGGUGAUGGCCUACCAAGGCGGUGACGGGUAGCCGGCCUGAGAGGGUGGGCGGUCACACUGGGACUGAGACACGGCCCAGACUCCUACGGGAGGCAGCAGUGGGGAAUAUUGCACAAUGGGCGCAAGCCUGAUGCAGCGACGCCGCGUGAGGGAUGGAGGCCUUCGGGUUGUGAACCUCUUUCGCCAGUGAAGCAGGCCUGCCUCGUUUGUGGGUGGGUUGACGGUAGCUGGAUAAGAAGCGCCGGCUAACUACGUG
rnacentral:rRNA from 1 species